CACUUACUGAGUUUAAAGCCAUCCUGAUGUUAUCAGCAGCAUCGGGUAAAGGGAGGUAUUUGGAACGUUCGAGUUGACCUAGAGGAAAGAACGACAGGACUGUUUUGCUUCUGUGCCGAGACGUUCCUGAGACUUGAGAGCAGCACAGAAUCCUCUCGUCUAAGCAGGAAAAGCUGGCACCUUCCUCGGAUUAGUUUCAGAGAUCCCACAGCCGGCAGAUCCUGAGGACCCAGGACACCAAAUGCGCCCAGAUGGGCUGCCACGGACUCUGGAAGGGAAGAUGAGUCGGAGAGCUCCUAACUGUCUGUGUGUGUGUGUGUGUGUGUGUGUGUGUGUUAGUAACUCAGUCAUGUCUAACUCUUUGAAACCCCAUAGAUUGUAGCCUUUCCGGCCCCUCUUCUAUGGAAUUCUGCAGGGGGGAUACUGGAGUAGGUUGCCAUUUCCUCCUCUAGGGGAUCUUCCUGACCCAGGGAUUGAACCCAAAUCUCCUGCACUGCAAGCAGAUUCUUUACCAUCUGAACUACCAGGGAAGCCUAACUCUCGGUGGCCAGAGACAAAGGAAGGAAGAAAGGUCUUCCCUGGGACCUGGAUCUGAUGGAGACGCACUGCUGUCCAAAAAGACCAGGGGAUCACAUUCUGUGCAAUUAAUGUCCAAAACAGGCAAUUCCACUCCCAUACAAGGUAGCAACUCUCUUUAGCUGGUUUCUGAAACGAACAAGACAAUCCAGAUGGCAGAGACAAUACUGCCUCUCGAAUGUUCUCUCCCGUCAUCAGAGGACACCCGUGAGUGCUCUUGAUUCCAGAAAGCCAGCCUCAGGGAAACACUUUUUCCCAAAGUGACCGAGACUCACAUGUGGCGAAGCUCUGCCCUGCUGCUUGCUCCUGGCACGCGUCCACUUCAAUGUCGCCCACUUGAGUCACACAGCAGAGCAUGACAGUCCCGGGCCACCCUGGGCUCUCCUUUCAGGGGACUGACUCAAGCCUCGAGUCACCUGCCCGGCCACCACUCAACAUGACAGUUUUGUGAAAUACCACCAGUCUCCCAUGACGUGAUGAAGGUAUUUCUAGACAAGGAGGGUCCCUCCUUACAGUAUCUUUUCUCUGGACCUCAGAACACAUUUGCUGGAGCUUUAUUUUGAAAACUACAAAACCAACGGAAAUGAGGUCAGAGAGGUAGAAACCGAUGCCCACAGAAGAGUCAGAGGUUUUCCCUAUUAUGAAGACCCCACUGACUUUCCCUCACACAUCAUUCAUGUGCGUGGCGCCUGCACCCGGCCCUUCUAAUGCCUUCCAGACGCCAGUUGUGUGAUGAGGUGUGACGGGUGGAAGAAACCCCACCUUCCUGACCUCAGAUUCGGCGUGCCUUCUUCAAACUCCUAAGCAAACACCACCAACAGAUACUCCCUAUCUGAGGGUCCAUGACCAAUGGAGCCCCUUACGUCUCAGCCACUGCAUACAAUCACCUUAUGUGUGGAGAGAUUCACAAAAUGCACCGUGAGAGGGAAGUUAACAGAGACAGUGGUGGAUUGAAUGAACGGUUCAACGUAAACAAAUAUAAGACUAUCAGAGAAAUGGCACACACAGUGACUGACGCAAGAAUGAGAAAGACAGAGGGAGGGAGAGAGCCGCUCAGGAGAGGCACUGCCUGCAUCAUCCAAGUUUCUUUUCCUAUGAAUGCCUCAUUGUCCAAAGGAGAUCGCAAACUUUUUAGGGCAGGAAUUGAAUCUGGUCCUUUUUUCUUCAGUCUAGUUUUGUACCAUACACAGAAAGUGGUCCAAUUUUUUUUUUUUUUUUUUUUUGCAUCCCACCAAAGGCCAAAUGAGUAAGAUGAAAUUUAAGACAGAGAGAGCCAGAAAGCCUGCAGCUGGACAAAGCAGACGCCAAAUUGAGGAUGUGAGUGACCUCACAGGUCCAGGUGCACAGAGCUGACCAAAUGCCAGCAGGUAGGCUGGAGAGGUGGCCAGUCCCACGAUAAAGUACAAAAGCCACUGUCAAAGGUUCGAAGAACUUGCCCGAGUCGAUCUGUGAAAUGGGCAUGCAUGCAGGCUAUGCAUGCUUAGUCACUUCAGUCAUGUCCAACUCUUGGCGACCCCAUGAACUCUAGCCCGCCAGGCUCCUCUGUCCAUGGGAUUUCCCAGGCAAGAAUACCAGAGUGGGUUGCCAUUUCCUUCUCCAGAGGAUCUUCCUGACCCAAGGAUAGCAGAUAAAUGGGGUUUUGUCCAGAUUAAAUGUGUUUGUGGCCUAGCACCAUGCCCAUCACACGAUGAGCCCUCCAGAAUAACGUAAUGACAGUAGCUAAGGGACUGAUGUAUGGGAAAAGGACUCAAUUUUUUUGUGUGAAGAUCCAAAGGAAGAACUCAGGAUCAAAAAGGUCAGAAAUAUCAGGAGGGCAGAUUUAACUCAAUCCAGGGAAACCAAGUUCCAACAAUGAGGAAAUUUCAGUAUCCACUGCGUUCCCUUGUGAGAAACAGUUCCUCAAACCAAAAAAAAAAAAAAAAGUCUGAUCCAACGCUGGAAGGCUGUGUCUACAGCACAUUCUAGAACCAAACUGGGCUUUUGCUGAGAGGCCAGACAUGAUGAUCUUUUAUUUUUUGUGAUCAGAAACACAAAUCUAUCCCUAGAAAACACAGGCUCCACAUGCCUGGUGUUCAGAUCGAGUCUCAGAUGAGGCCAGGUGCUUGCCCUGCCAGGAGGGCCCUUCUGAAAGCAGGGAGCUUAAAGCGAUGCUGACGUGAGGUGACAUCCAAACAAGCCACCAUAAAAGCCUGGGCUUCAUCUCACCUUCCAGAUCAGAGCUUCCUAGAAAACAUUUCUCUAAUGGACGUCCACUAGAAGGCCAACGGAGCUCCCAAUGAUUCCGUCCACUCUGCCUUUGCAGAAGCUUCCGGACUUAAGUUUUGUUGCUGUUUACUUGCAGCUAGCUGCAAGAAUUAAUGUGAAUUACAGGGCUUCCUUUGUGGCUCAGAUGGUAAAGAAUCCGACUGCAGUGUGGGAGACCUGGGUUCAAUCCUUGGGUUGAGAAGAUCCCCUGGAGGAGGGCGUGG